GUUGAACGCUGGCGGCAGGCUUAACACAUGCAAGUCGAGCGGAGAUGAGGUGCUUGCACCUUAUCUUAGCGGCGGACGGGUGAGUAAUGCUUAGGAAUCUGCCUAUUAGUGGGGGACAACAUUCCGAAAGGAAUGCUAAUACCGCAUACGUCCUACGGGAGAAAGCAGGGGAUCUUCGGACCUUGCGCUAAUCGAUGAUCCUAAGUCGGAUUAGCUAGUUGGUGGGGUAAGGGCCUACCAAGGCGACGAUCUGUAACGGGUCUGAGAGGAUGAUCCGCCACACUGGGACUGAGACACGGCCCAGACUCCUACGGGAGGCAGCAGUGGGGAAUAUUGGACAAUGGGGGAAACCCUGAUCCAGCCAUGCCGCGUGUGUGAAGAAGGCCUUAUGGUUGUAAAGCACUUUAAGCGAGGAGGAGGCUACUGAGACUAAUACUCUUGGAUAGUGGACGUUACUCGCAGAAUAAGCACCGGCUAACUCUGUGCCAGCAGCCGCCGUAA
rnacentral:rRNA from 1 species